UUUAUACUCCCUCCGUUCCGAAUUACUUAUCUUAGAUUUGUCUAGAUAUGGAGGUAUCUAGUACUAAAAUGAGUCUAGAUACAUACGUAUCUAGACAAAUCCAAGACAAGUAAUUCGGAACGGAGGGAGAUAUGAG
rfam:Triticum aestivum genome assembly, contig: Triticum_aestivum_CS42_TGACv1_scaffold_379163_5AL